rnacentral:lncRNA from 1 species
AAUUUCCCUCCCUCAAAUUAUUUCAUAUUCCCGCUCAUUCAAUUAACCCUUCAUCAAUUUCGCUCUCAUUCUCCCCAAAAAAACCAAUUUCCCCCACUCUAAUUUUUAUCUCUCCAAAAUCUCGUCAAUUGGCUUCACUCUGUUUGAAUACGACCAGUUCACGACUGCACCGACCAAAGACGAUUGUGCUCCUGUUUAAAUCCCGACAUCAAUUUGGCGUUCAAAUCCUCUCCAAAUCAAAGCUUGAGAAAUGCGAAAGGUCUUCGGACGGUCCUCUCAACUGCACCUCAAAAAUCGUCAUCAAUAUGGCGGUUCCUAGGGUAUGUUUGGCAAAAGUAGCUGUUGGCUGUUAGCUGAAAGCUGGAAGCUGGUAGCUAGUGGCUGGAAGCUGGUAGCUGUAGCUUUUUAGAUACAUUUGGUGUUUGGUAGAAUAGCUGGAGCUUUUAAUAAAAUGUAUAAAAUUACCAAAAUGGACAUAACUAAAAAUUUAGAAAGUUGGUGCAUUAAAAAGUUUCUUAUUUUGAGAGGUUAAAAUAGUCAUUUUUCCCUAAAAGCUUGUAGCUCCUUCUAAACGCUACUAGUAGUAGCGUUCAACCAAAAGCUUCAAGCUCCUAACCUAAAAGCUUAAAGCUCCUUCAACCAAACAAGACUUUUUAUUAAGUAGGAGCUUUUUCUUAAAAGCUAAAAGCUAGAAGCUCCUAAAAGCUCCAUGCCAAACAUACCCCUAGUCAAGCAGUAACUCACUCAAUCUCUCCUUUAUUAUAUAAAUCAUAUAAUUCAGAUUUUGUUUUGUUUGUAGAGUGGUAAAGAAGCGUCCAUUGUGGUGCGAGUGGAUGAGGUGGAAGAGAAAUCGGAUGACACAAUUAAAACGCUUCGGGAUCCACCUGUGAUUACUGUUUACAAAUCUGCAGCGUACGCGCUGCAUGAUCUGACUUAUAUUAGAGAUGUCCCUUAUAAACCUGAAGAGUUUCAUGUUAAGACGCGCAAGUGUGAGUCUCAUGCUGGUGCAAAUAUUGUUGGGCAAUGUGUGAGCUUCAGAGAUGAUCAAGGAUGUGUAAUCGAGCAUACUCAGGAAUUAGUUAAGAUGUAAACAAAACUUUACAUGGAGCAAAUGCUAGUUUUGGUUAAAGAAUUGGAAUAUAUAAUCAUGGUUUUAGCAAAGGGAAUACAUGAACUGAGGAGCAGAUUCUCGCCCAGCAAGUGAUGAUGCGGCUCCAAUCAACUUUGGUAUACAUGAUUUCAGAUUGAUGGAAGUGUUCCAAACACACGAGUUACAGCAAAUUGUGGUGUAGUGAAGCCAAAAGUUGCUGCAGCUGAAUAUAUAUCUCAAGUUGAAUAUAGUGAAUUGGCUGACGCGGCGACAAUAAGGAGUAAGUGCAGGGAACAACUAUGAAGUGGGAAAUACGAUCGCUAAGAAAGAGUUAACACAAUGAAUAUUUUACUCGCAUGAAGAUUGUGAAAGAGAUUCAUGAACGCAAUGGAGUUUUGAGUUUUUGUUCAAACAUUUUUUAAAUACUUGUUUUGUAUGUUCGAUAUUUAGAUUUAGGUUGACACUUAUUAGUUAUUUCUUUGCAAAUAUUUGGAAUCUUUGGAAGAUGAUUGAUUGAACUUUUUAAGUGAAUUGAUUAUAUUAUUAUGAUU